ACGUAGGAGACGAGCGUUAUCCGGAUUUACUGGGUGUAAAGCGCGUGCAGGCGGUAUGGUAAGUUGGAUGUGAAAGCUCCUGGCUUAACUGGGAGAGGUCGUACAAGACUGCCAAACUAGAGGACAGCAGAGGGGAGUGGAAUUCCGAGUGUAGCGGUAAAAUGCAUAGAUAUUCGGAAGAACACCAGUGGCGAAGGCGGCUCUCUGGGCUGUACCUGACGCUCAGACGCGAAAGCUAGGGUAGCAAACGGGAUUAGAGACCCCGGUAGUCCUAGCCGUAAACGAUGUGAACUUGGCGUAGGUGGGUUCAAAUCCAUCUGUGCCGAAGCAAACGCGAUAAGUUCACCACCUGGGGACUACGGCCGCAAGGUUA
rnacentral:rRNA from 1 species